ensembl:lncRNA
GUGUAGAAGUAUUUAACUCAGGUGUGUUCUCCUCUCUACAGGUGUAGAGUAUUUAACUCUCUCCAGGUUGUAGUAUUACUCAGGGCUCCUCUACAGGUGUAGAAGUAUUUAACUCAGUGUGUUCUCCUCCUACAGGUGUAGAAGUAUUUAACUCAGGUGUGUUCUUCCUCUCCUCUCUACAGGUGUAGAGGUAUUUAACUCAGGUGUGUUCUCCUCUCAGGUGUAGAAGUAUUUAACUCAGGUGUGUUCUCCUCUCUCUACAGGUGUAGAAGUAUUUAACUCGGUGUGUUCUCCUCUCUCCAGGUGUAGAGUAUUUAACCAGGUGUGUUCUCCUCCACAGGUGAGAGUAUUUAACUCAGGUGUGUUCUCCUCUCUACAGGUGUAGAAGUAUUUAACUCAGGUGUGUUCUCCUCUCUACAGGUGUAGAAGUAUUUAACUCAGGUGUGUUUCCUCCUCCAGGUGUAAUAAGCGCUGGAGCUCAGAAGGUCGGGCUGGACGGAGAGGUCAUGACUCCCAUGAAGCCUACGAUGCUCUCCUGGCUCAGGCUCCGACUGGACCCAGCUCUGCCGCCGCGCCAUGUUCCACGAGGUGGGCUGUGUGUGUGUGUGUGUGUGUGUGUGCAUUGGUUUGUUGGUGUCUGUGUAAGUAGUUUAUAUAAGAGUUGUGUGGGUAAGGUGUGUGUGUUCUUGUUGUGUUUGUAUAUUUAUUGUGUGUGUGUGUGUUGUAUGUUGGUGUGUCCUUGCCAUUAGUAUCUUCUCUGACCUUGUCAUUGUGUCCCCCAGGGAGAGCAGUGCCACAGGGCUGGAUAGCAGCUGUCUGUACGGUCUCGUUCGGCCUGUCCCAGGCCCUGAAGGGCUGCACAGGAUGUGGACCGACGCACGCGGCUGGAGGAGCUCGGAGCAGAACUGUACAGCAGCCUCUGCAGAGAGGAGCACAGAGAAAGCAGAGAGAGCAGUGAWUGCAGGGCCAUCAGGCCUCAUUGUGGACACCAGAACUCUGAGGAGGCUGGUUUGGGACCGGACGACCCGCCCGGAGCUCAGAGGGYUUCUGGAGAGCCUGRUCCACUACCUAACCCAGGACCUGCCCGGCCGGAGCCCCACCGCGAGGCCCCCUGAGAGGUUAGGGCUGGAGGUCAGUGUGGGGUUGGAGGUGCCCCAGUUCAGCAGGUGUGGAGGUCGACCAGCAGGGAGCGACGUCUCAAGACGCCUCACCUCCUUCCAGCUUCUCCAGGCCAAGUUCCUGAGGAACACCCCCAACCCUCCGCUCACUCACCGCCGGGAGGUGGGGGCCCUGGCACUGUCCUCCAGAGGGGGUGGAGGGGGAGGCUGUGGGAGCCAGAGCCAUGGCAGAGAGACCCCUAGUGGACAGGUUGAGGGCUGCAUUCCCAAAACAGGACGUAGAGUGAGAAAGGGGAACACUGUUAAGGAUGUGCUGGCCAGGUUUGCUGCAGCAACGCAGAAAGAGAGGGGAGGGGCCACACAGGGGGGAGGAGCGUCGAAAAGACCCCGACCGAUCGGCAAGGGGCAGCUACUGUCUGCCAUAAUGGACAAGUUUGAAACCAUGGCGACGGUGCACCGGGGAAGUGACGUGAGUUGCCAGAAGAAAAGCUCCUCUCCUGGUACCAGCUCAUCUGGACGUGUCAACGAAUUAGUGAGUCGUCAGGAAGAAGAGGGACAACAGUGCUUAGGUCAACCCGUCAAAGGUCAGAGUUCAGUGAAGCAACAGGUUAAGAGUAAAGGCUGGGGACAGCCGAGGAAACAGAACCCCUCUGGAGUACAGGAAGGAGAUAGAGGAUCAGAGAAGACAGUAGCUGGUCUGAAGGACUCACUUCAACACAGAAAAGGGAGGAACUGGAAUCAGAAGGUGAAAGGUCACUCUGUAGUCAAUAAGCAGAUAAGGGGUCCAGGUUCAGAUCAAGAAGCUGAAGGUCAGAUUCAGGAUUCAAUUAAGGUGGUAGAAGUUUGGGGUGCGAAUCAACAGGUAGAGACUCUGYGUACGAACCAACAGGUAGAAACUCUGGGUACGAACCAACAGGUAGAGAUUCAGGGUACGAACCAACAGGUAGAGACUCUGGGUACGAACCAACAGGUAGAGAUUCAGGGUACGAACCAACAGGUAGAGACUCUGGGUAUGAACCAACAGGUAGAGACUCUGGGUACGAACCAACAGGUAGAGACUCUGGGUACGAACCAACAGGUAGAGACUCUGGGUACGAACCAACAGGUAGAGACUCUGGGUACGAACCAAGAACAGAUUGUUAGCUCAGGUCAAAGACGAGAAGGCCAUGGUUCAGAAUUUAACAAGGAGCUAAAGGUUCAGAGUGAAAACYUUGAAGUUAAGGCCUCAGUGGGUCAGGAAGUGGUGGUACAGGCUUCACAUCAGGAAAAUGAGGAUCCUGAUCAAGACAGUGAAGUUGAAGUUUCAGGUCAGGAGCUCAAGGCACAGGUUACAGGUCAGGAGGUCAAGGCACAGGUUUCAGAUAAGGAAUUAAAYGUACAGGUCUUAGGUCAGGAYCUCAGCUAUGUGCAGGUAGAGCUGCUCUGCUCUGCUGCAGUGGUCCAGUGGUCUCCCCCAGCACCCCAGGUAGGGAUACCUGAGGUAGAGGCCUUGCAGUCUGUGUACCUGGCAACGCUUCUCCCUUGUUCUCCUGUGUGGGCACUAGCUUCCUCUGUGGAUCCACCAGCACAGAAAUACUCAGGGUUAGGGUCCAAAACCAGGACCCUGGAAGGCUCACAUCUCUCCUACCCCUGUAAAAAACAGUACAUGGAUCCACCCCAACCCCGGUCCACCCAGAGAGGCCAGCCCAGAUACCCCAUCCCUAGGAGGGCCCACGGCUCAGAAUCAGAACCAUCAGAACUGGGCCAGGCCCAUAAUGCCAGCCUCUCACCCCCACCUUCUGAAUCUACGACCCCUGAUGUCAUGACCUCUGUCCCCACAACCCCUGAUCUUGACCUUUGCUUCCUGCCAUCAGCGCCCACAACGUCCAACCAGGAGCACCGCCCACAUGAAGCCAAACAGGAAGUAAAUGUCCUCAUGGCACUGCAAAGUGGGGAGGGGGAGGUGACAUGUCAGGAGGGGGAGGGGCAGGGUAGCGCUGUGAUGUCACACAAAGAUGAUGUCAUCACUAUGCGUGGUUCAAGUGUUGCAGAGCCAGAAAGACUACAGACAGAAAAGCAGGAGAGACCAAAGUACAGGACGUUAAACUACAGCGACCCUUCUGCGAAACUGAUUUAUAAACCCAGAAUCAUCCGAUUCACAGAUACCUUUAAUUUCUAAGUCACUCGUCCACUCACUCUGACUUCAGUGAUGCGUCCGUCUGUGAAGGAUAAAAGCCUUCUGAACUUUCUCUCUCCUCACAGUGAAACACAAUACACCUUCAAGGUCAUGCUAGCUAUCCCAUGUGUUGCUGUCCUCAAAGCCGUGGGGUUGCAGGAAGCAGCCGACGCUCUACGUGUGGUGAUUACUCAGAAGCUGUGUAAUGCUCUAAGUAGAGUAGAGUAGCGUGUGUGUGUGUGUGCGUGCGUGUGUGUGUGUGUGUGUGCUUGCGUGUGUGUGUGUGUUGUCCGUACUGUAACAGUGGAAAGACAAACAGAACAGUGGUGUUAAACAUUGACUAAGCUAAGCCUAAUCUUUAGAAUGGGAUUUUCGUGGAAAACAAUGUGAAGCAAUAAUAUCAGGACUUAAACUGUAGCUAUGACAACCGAGUCAAACGAACCUCUGCUCUUUAUCAGAUUAAAGAAACUCAAUCCCUUAUCUUGUAGUUAUUGUAUUGUUGACGUUGUGAUCAAUCUGAAACAGUUUUACUGUUCCCUUCUAAAUCAACCUUUCAUUCAUUAGCCGGUUUGAGUUAGCUCUACUGACCUUGGCGUAUCUAUACUCUCCCUAAGGCUCGUGACUAUUGUCGUUGUCACAAGGUAAACCGGAACUAAGGCACCAUACAUUUUCAUUUUAUGUCAUGAGAAUAAUCUCAGAGAUCAGGGACAUAUUUGGCCGAGACAUGUAUCAAUGAAGUUUUACAAGAGAAUCUUUGUUCAAAUGUUG